rnacentral:rRNA from 1 species
AUUGAACGCUGGCGGCAGGCCUAAUACAUGCAAGUCGAACGGCAGCACAGCAGAGCUUGCUCUGUGGGUGGCGAGUGGCGGACGGGUGAGGAAUACAUGGGAAUCUGCCCAGUCGUGGGGGAUAACGUAGGGAAACUUACGCUAAUACCGCAUGCGCCCUUCGGGGGAAAGCCGGGGACCGUAAGGCCUGGCGCGAUUGGAUGAGCCCAUGUCGGAUUAGUCUAGUUGGCGGGGUAAUGGCCCACCAAGGCGACGAUCCGUAGCUGGUCUGAGAGGAUGGUAAGCCACACUGGAACUGAGACACGGUCCAGACUCCUACGGGAGGCAGCAGUAGGGAAUAUUGGACAAUGGGCGCAAGCCUGAUCCAGCCAUGCCGCGUGAGUGAAGAAGGCCCUCGGGUUGUAAAGCUCUUUUGUCCGGAAAGAAAAGCGCCGGGUUAAUACCCUGGUGUCCUGACGGUACCGGAAGAAUAAGCACCGGCUAACUUCGUGCCAGCCGCCGCCGUAACAC